GUGGGGAAUUUUGGACAAUGGGCGAAAGCCUGAUCCAGCCAUGCCGCGUGCAGGAUGAAGGCCUUCGGGUUGUAAACUGCUUUUGUACGGAACGAAAAGACUCCUUCUAAUAAAGGGGGUCCAUGACGGUACCGUAAGAAUAAGCACCGGCUAACUACGUGCCAGCAGCCGCGGUAAUACGUAGGGUGCAAGCGUUAAUCGGAAUUACUGGGCGUAAAGCGUGCGCAGGCGGUUAUAUAAGACAGAUGUGAAAUCCCCGGGCUCAACCUGGGAACUGCAUUUGUGACGGGAUAGCUAGAGUACGGUAGAGGGGGAUGGAAUUCCGCGUGUAGCAGUGAAAUGCGUAGAUAUGCGGAGGAACACCGAUGGCGAAGGCAAUCCCCUGGACCUGUACUGACGCUCAUGCACGAAAGCGUGGGGAGCAAACAGGAUUAGAUACCCUAGUAGUCC
rnacentral:rRNA from 1 species